rnacentral:rRNA from 1 species
GGGUCAGUAGGCUGGUCGUGCCACCGGUACGUACUGGUCUCACUGAUUCCUCCUUCCUGAAGAACCGUAAUGCCAUUAAUUUGGUGUUGCGGGGAAACAGGACUGUUACUUUGAAAAAAUUAGAGUGUUUAAACCAAGCUAACGCUUGAAUACAUUAGCAUGGAAUAAUGAAAUAGGACGAUCGAUCCCAUUAUGUUGGUUUCUAGGAUUGACGUA